UCAGGACAGUUAAAAGAGCAGGU
rnacentral:piRNA from 1 species